rnacentral:rRNA from 1 species
CCAGACUCCUACGGGAGGCAGCAGUGGGGAAUUUUGGACAAUGGGCGAAAGCCUGAUCCAGCCAUGCCGCGUGCAGGAUGCAGGCCUUCGGGUUGUAAACUGCUUUUGUACGGAACGAAAAGACUCUGGUUAAUACCUGGGGUCCAUGACGGUACCGUAAGAAUAAGCACCGGCUAACUACGUGCCAGCAGCCGCGGUAAUACGCAGAGUGCAAGCGUUAAUCGGAAUUACUGGGCGUAAAGCGUGCGCAGGCGGUUAUAUAAGACAGAUGUGAAAUCCCCGGGCUCAACCUGGGAACUGCAUUUGUGACUGUAUAGCUAGAGUACGGCAGAGGGGGAUGGAAUUCCGCGUGUAGCAGUGAAAUGCGUAGAUAUGCGGAGGAACACCGAUGGCGAAGGCAAUCCCCUGGGCCUGUACUGACGCUCAUGCACGAAAGCGUGGGGAGCAAACAGGAUUAGAUACCCUGGUAGUCCACGCCCUAAACGAUGUCAACUGGUUGUUGGGUCUUCACUGACUCAGUAACGAAGCUAACGCGUGAAGUGACCGCC